UUUACGUAUUAUUAAUUGGUAUUAUUACGAAAAUAAACUUGACAGCUAAAAAACGGCUAAUUUCUAUUAUGUUAUGUAUAGAUAUAUAAUUAAUAGUGUUUCUAAUUUUUGAAAACAUUCAUUAAGUGCCGCCAUACUUAGUUCCUCAUUUUUUUUGAUACGUGAUAUUUUUGAAACACCUUUACAUAUUGAAAAGUGGUCAAUGAAACUUAUAAAAUAAUGUUUAUUGAGAGAUGUGUCAUCACCGACGCUGUCAUAGGGAUGGCUUUGAACAAAAGUUAAAGAUGUGUCUGAUGUUGAUGUCUUCUCAUAUUAUCCUUUCUGAAAAAAUGUUUGCUGUAAACUGUUUAAUUUGUGUUUAUGAACAGACUGCUCAUGACGUUCCAGAUCUUUCAGAAAACUGAAAGUCUUACCGCAAACACAGAAUAAGUGAUUCAUAUUUGAUGAGUUGACGAUUGAAAAUGAAAAGGCUUCAAGGUAAUGAUUUAACAGACAAACGAAAAUUAAGUCCGGGGAAGAAUGAUUUUUUGGUUUUAUUAAGUAUACUUUAGCAAACCUCAGCAAUUUCAUACCACAGUAUCUCCUACCCCUGAAGCUGAUCAUUUUUGUAAGACAAUUUCGUGUUAUGACCAUUCUUUGACGUCCAUUGGAAUUUAAAAUUAUUUUACGUGACUUUUGUUAAAACCUCAAGGACAAACGAAAAAAAGCUAAUGCUAGACUUUAUAUCUUCCGCCCUCUACUUAAGUCUAAACUUCAACUAAACACAAAAAUGUUGAUUUACAAAACUAUUAUAAGACUAUUAUAAUAUAACCUAUUAUUUCUGACUUCGGCACCACUGGUAUCAGUAAAGAUUAUUUAAUGAAUUCUACUUUCAUUUAAAUUACUAAAUAACAAUUUUAUACUACAUUUAAUUGCUAUAAUAAAUAUUUAUUUUUAUAUUAUACUUUUAAAUUUAAGAACUACUAAUCAAGAUAUAAAUAAGGAAAUAGGAGAUCAUGUUUCUUUUGGAAUAAUUCACCAUUUUUUAAAAUUAAACACCAUUUACAUAUUUACAUCGAAGCAACCUUAGUAUAUUUUUUAAAUCCAAGAAAAUCAUUUUGCCUCAAUCGUCAACUUUUCGCACUGCCCUUUAUUUUAACACGCUUAUAUUAGUUUCACUUGUAUGUUGUGGGUUGUGUGUUUGUUUGUAAAUCUCCACCAGCCACGUGUUAUUAUACUUCCGUACCCCGUCGUCUAUGGACUUAAGACUAGACGUCGUUCACCCCACCCUGAUCACCACUCGCCGUAACAAUAUUUUCCUAUAAAAUUUUAUUUUUGGUUUUCGUACCCGUGACUGACCAAUACCGCCCUCGUCUAAUGCGCCUUACGUAUAUAUAUUUAUAUAUUCCUACCGCCGCUGAAACCAUUUAUACCUUAGGUAUAACGUUCCCCCCCCACAAAACAAGGCUAUACCUAGUGCAUGAUACGUUUACGUACUUAAGUCGCUUUACUUGUAUAUAUAUAUAUUCUAAUUACUAUUGAAUUUAAAACUAAAAUUUACAUAUUAACAUGCUUUAUUCUAAUUAAGAGAUAUAAGUAUUCAUUCCGAUUACGAGGGAUGAUUUCCGUAUCGUCAUUUUUCGUCACUACGUCCACGUUCAGGGAGUGAGUAAUUUGCGCGCCUGCUGCUUUCCUUGGAUGUGGUAGCCGUUUAUCAAUCUCCUUCCCCGGGAUUGAACCCAGAUUUCCCGUUACCCGUAACAACCAAGAUAUUGAUAGUAACUACUAUCAUAACAUGAAACUAAAAAGUGAAAAAUAAAUAUAGUUUAAAAAAACUAAAAAAACACGCUUUU